rnacentral:rRNA from 1 species
AGUGGCGGACGGGUGAGUAACGCGUGAGAAUCUGCCCUUUGGAUGGGGAUAACGACUGGAAACGGUCGCUAAUACCCAAUAUGCCGAGAGGUGAAACUUAUAUGGCCAGAGGAUGAGCUCGCGUCUGAUUAGCUAGUUGGAGUGGUAACGGCACACCAAGGCGACGAUCAGUAGCUGGUCUGAGAGGAUGAUCAGCCACACUGGGACUGAGACACGGCCCAGACUCCUACGGGAGGCAGCAGUGGGGAAUUUUCCGCAAUGGGCGAAAGCCUGACGGAGCAAGACCGCGUGAGGGAGGAAGGCCUACUGGUUGUAAACCUCUUUUGAUAGGGAAGAAGAAAGUGACGGUACCUAUCGAAUCAGCAUCGGCUAACUCCGUGCCAGCAGCCGCGGUAAUACGGAGGAUGCAAGCGUUAUCCGGAAUUAUUGGGCGUAAAGCGUCCGUAGGUGGUUAUUCAAGUCAGCUGUCAAAGGAUGGAGCUUAACUCCAUAAAGGCAGUUGAAACUGUGUAGCUAGAGUGCGAUAGGGGCAAGGGGAAUUCCCAGUGUAGCGGUGAAAUGCGUAGAUAUUGGGAAGAACAUCGGUGGCGAAAGCGCCUUGCUGGGUCUGCACUGACACUGAGGGACGAAAGCUAGGGGAGCGAAAGGGAUUAGAUACCCCUGUAGUCUUAGCUGUAAACGAUGGAUACUAGG